GUGCGUCAGCGGUUUCCACAGAAUUAGAUUUUAUCUAUGGCAGUGAGAGUGGAGGGAGGGGCACUAGAGUCAAGCCGCUGAGUUGAUGACUGUGGUUGUCCGGUGAACACGCACACAGUAACACUCAUGUGCACACAAAUGACUACACAGAGGCGUGUGGGAGGUCUCACAGAGUGCUGGGGUCUUUCUGCCUCUUCAGAACUGCUGGGUACAAUGGAACCCUUGUCAAAUGGGUUCACACAUUGCUGAUCAGCUCCAGUUUCCUCUUGGCUGCUGACGUUCCGGCUGUAACAGAAGGAGGCUUGGACUUCUUGGAGCGAAUGGAGGAGCCUCUGCUGGAGUAGCCACUCAUCACCGACAUGGUGUCAUCAUCACCACCAGCCUGAAGGGAAUUCCUGUAGGAGAUGAGGGGGAGCCAGCAGUCCUCUCGCUGCAGUGCCAUCUGGAAUGUCAUGAAGCGCUCCAGGUACAUGUGGCUGAGGAGCAGAGGGAGGCCACAGAGAGAAGAUUAACAAACCUGUGCAUCCGUGCGUACAGAGAACACACGCUACACACAUAACCAGGUGCACUUUCCAACUAGGGGGUUAAAUCUGAAACACCAGUUGCACCAGUUGUCACAAACACCUGUUGCUCUGAGACACUGAAGCCUCCCACCAGUCAGCUCAGCAAAUAAAAUACUUACACAGUCCUCUUGUCUUGUCUCAUAAGCUUGGAGGAGAACUCGCUGAGGAUGUCUAAGAAAGCCAGGUGGAGGGGAGGGCCUCCUUCUCCCUGGGGACUGGGAUCCUUAAACGAAAACUCAAUACCAUCCCUGAGAGUUGCAGAGAAACAGAGAAGAUGAAUAACAGACAGUGAGCAGAGACAAUGAAUUUAUUUCAUGGAGAUAAAAACUAAAGAAAGUUGAUCAGACUGUGUGGAGAAGAGUCAAAGUCUAAAGCAUUGCAAAAGAGUAUUUUUUGCAAUCGGUUACAACUAGGAAUACUGUGGUUAAUAAACCUUCUUGAUAGGUGAUCAUUAAUCUGAUUAACAAUUCAUUUAAGCUUGAUAUAUUCAAACAGAUCCAAUAUCAACUUCCCUAAUCUUACAGCGCUCUACUUAACAAGAUAUCCAAUUUUGUUUCAGCUGGCUUUAGGUAUUGUUCUCUGUGGUGUAGUCCUGUCUGAAUAUUGUUAUGCUGUCAGCUCAGAGGUUGUUAGCCUCAAUGGGAUUUACCUGUUUAAAUAAAGGAUGAAAAACUUAA